rnacentral:lncRNA from 1 species
GGAAAAUCGGUAAGUCCCUUAAAUGUGUAUUCCAGUACGCUUGUGCAGGCCUCCUAGAUCCAUAGGAGUUUGUAGCUGAAGAAAAGUGACAUCUUUGGAGGAGAAAUCAGUGGUGAUGCUGGUUAGCAAUGGAAAAGGAUGUUUUCAGCAGCUCAUAUGUUAACUGCAGGUUAAACCUCAAUUAAUUAAACCUAAUAGUAUCUUUGUAAUAGUUGCUGUCUGUCUUACUGUACGGUGCUGUCUUUAGGGCAGUUAAUAUUUUGAGUUCUUUCUGAUGAGAGCUAGUAUGCCAUUGAUGUUACUAAAAUUCCUCUUAUUUUUUUUCUUCCCCUUUCUGUCUUUUAGCCAAUAACAAUUGUUUUUCAGAAAUACAAAUUCUCUUCCUUCUCUAAACUGGUUGUCUUAUGUAUAUCAAACAGGUUGGCUUUUUUUUUUUUUUUUCUUUUUGCUUUUACAUCUUGACCACAAGAUGGAUAAAAGUGUUGAUCAUCAGCUUCUGGAAGCAAGUAGACUUGUGGUUGGGAAUGGAAGUGAGAAUUGCAGCUUCCAGUGUGAAACUGCUAAACACUCUCUCAGCUGCUACCAGUGCAUGAUCAGUGUAGGAAAUCUGUUUCCCUAUAAAUUGUUGUCGUAGCAAUUGUUCUUCGCUUCUUCCUUGCUAGCAUGAUGCUAGCUAGAAGCAUGCAGCAGGGAGAAGAUGUGAGAGAAUAUAUGUACAUGCAAACUCUGGGUAGUUUUUAAGGCUAGAGCUCUGCUGAAAACUGCUUUCCUGGUCUUAUCACAUCAACAAUAGUCUGUCAGUGCUUUGACUGUAAUGUUUAUUAAUUAUGAAAAUAGAGAUGCUAGAUGCCAUAAACUCACAGGACUGGCAAUGUUCAGCUGGCUGGCAUGACUGAGUUGGCAGAGAACAAGAAUGCUGUGUAUAUAUAACAUAGAAUUUGUUUGUCCUGCUGUAGACAGGCUUCUGCCAACAUGCUUUGUGAGUCAUCAAACGAUGCCCCCUGAGUUGGAGUCUUGGGAAAUUUGGGUCUGUUGUUAGCAGAUACUGGGAGCAGCAGUAGGACACAUGUAGACACUUGUCCCUCUUCCACUGGGAUUGAAGUGAUUGCAUCCAGUGGAGUUGAGAUUACUUCUGCUCAAGGAGGAGAGCUACACCUACAGAAAUUUUCCACAGCUGUGUCAGCUGGGACACGGAAAUGCUUUCUCCAUUAUUUCUUAUGUGAAAAGACAAAGUAGUUGAAUCCUCUGAUGUUAUCCUAAUGAAUAAAUUAAAUGAGAGCAAGCUGUAGAAGCAAUGCUUCAAUCCCUGCUGGAGUUGGUGGAAACUUAUACCCUGGAGUGAGUGAGGUUUGUAUGCAGCUUCUGAAGAAGGUUCAGGUUACUUCCAGUGAUUUCACAGCAUCUGAUAGUUGCCAGUUGGAGUAGAUCAGGUAAAUCUUAGCUGUUUGUUGGAGACUAAACCAUUACAUGAUGCAUGUGAUGACUAUUGGAUGAAAAGGCAUUUAUUACUUCUGUGCAUUGAAGUUUACUAGCAGAUAACUGUGUCCUACCAAUUGUGUUGACAUUUGCUAUGAUUACAUAUUUAAAGUAAGCUAGCAGAUCUCUUUAACAGGCUGUCUUCGUUUGAUAAUUAAUAAUGACAUUAUUUCUUUCUAAAUUUAACUUCUAAGAUUGCUGUGUCUCAAUAUUUCUCAAAGAACUUACAGUUCAGUUUGGAUUCCACACUUUCAAAGGGAGUUUUGUAAGUGCUGCAGAGUAGUUUAUACUUUGAAAUUCUAUUACCUUUGAUUCCCCAUUAACUAAAAUGUUUUUCACAGUGGAUGCAGUAAUAGAAUAGAGAAAACUGUUAGAAGAGGGUAUGAACUUCAAGAAUACCAUUUACAGGUGUUUUGGUUUUUUUUUUAGAGGAGGUUGUGUUUGUGUUGUCAGCCGUCAUCAUAUGCAGCAGUAAUGUGCAGUUAGAGAAUAUGGAGUAUAUGCAAAUGGAAAUGGAAAACUGAGAAAUGAGAAAUGUGGGUAAGAGAAAGGCCCCCCUCCUGAAUAAUCUAUAAACCAUCCCAAGGAAAAUAAAGGAGAGACUUACAGUGCCUGGGAUCCAAACUCUUAAUGUUUUUGUGUGGGUAACAGUUGUUUUCUUUUGUUAUUAUCAUUACUUACUUGAAAUGAAGUAACAAAGAAGCAUGGUUUUUUUUGGUGGUGUUUUCUUUUUUUGUUGUUGUUGUUACAGCUCUUUGUGGGAGUUGUUCUGCUGUUCUACUAUCCUCCCCAUAGGAAUGUGACCUAGAAAUGGCAGUUAAGUCUGUGAAGAAACUUCUUUUUUGUUGUGUAUUAUCCCCUUUUGUGUUUGCUUUAGGUACAUCUGUAAUGUAUACUCAAGAUAGCUUCUGCGAAUUGCUUUUCUCUUGGGUGUGAAAUUCAAUAAAACAGAAAAUAGCCAAAACGAACGGUCUGAAUCCAGAAGCAGUCAGUUGUAAAUGCCCUGAAGAUUAAUGGUGCAACUGAGAAAUGUGUGGGUAGAUUGCUCUUCAGCUCUGUGGAUGUUCCUCAAGUGGAUGGAAUUGUUUAAGUUAUUGGUAGUUGUCUUUUAUGAUUUCAGUAUAGCUCAACAUUUACUGUUUUCAUUUUCUUGCCUCUUGCUUUGGACUAUCUUUCCCCUUUAUGUUAUGUCUUACUAAUGAGAGGUAGUCCAACAAAGAGUUGGAUUGAAUUUCCACACUGCAAAGUUGUGUGGCUUCAUACUGUAGUUGUAUAUGAAAUUUUGCUUGUGAGGGCUACAUUUCACUCUCAUCAAAACUUGUUAAUGUAUUUUCUUGUGCAAGAGCAAAUUUGAAAUCUUAAGCAUUGUUCAUGACUGAGUGAGGGUCAAUGCUGUAACUUCUGUCAUGUUUUGCCAGUGCACAUAAAGAAGUAGUUCUAGACAACUGAUGACAAUCAUGCUUACAGCUGGUGUCAAAGUAGGUCUCCACUAUCUUACCUGUUUCCACUGAUGCCCUUAGGUUUAUCUUUGCUUAUGCUACUUUGGAUUUGCCAUCUAGAAAAAUUAGGACUUCCUUUUCUUAGUAAGAAUAAGGAAUAGCUUAAAACUUGAUUUUUGUUUUUUUUUUUUGAUAAUUUUAUGUUCUUGUCUGUCUCAGUGAAGGGCUGAAAAU